rnacentral:piRNA from 1 species
UAACAGUUCGUUAGGUGAUUCUGCAGCC